AAGAGAAACACCCAGAUCCCUACAACUGACUGGCUUUUUAUCUUCCAAGCUUUUUUCUUUUUCUUAAAAGGUGGGGUUUUCUAAGGCAGCUCAUGUAGAUCCAACAGGUACCCAGAAAUGGUUCCAGUGCCUGUUUCUGAAGAUCAUCCAAGGAGAUUCUCAAAAAAGAAGAUAAAGGCCAUGCUGAUGGAUAUUUUGGAUUGUAAACAAAAUGGCGACAUUUUUCCACCUCUGCCUCUGAAAGAUAAAAUCCAGGGAGAAGAGGGAUUUGUUGCUCCAGAUUCUCAGAUGCAGGUGAAAAGGACCAGCGAAACAUCCACGGGAUAGUCUCCAUGCUCCUGAGAAAUAUUUGACAUCUUCUGCGUGGACUGGCCCGCUUUGACGCGAGGAAGACGCCGGAGGAGACAGCCGGAGUCUGGUGCCUCUGCCUGGCCGCCUGAGCACCUGGGCAACCCCCACAGCGCCCUGGGCCUGCUGCCUUUGUUUCUCCCGCACUCGACAGACCCUGCGCCCGUGCACGCCUCCGCGGCAGCUGGGAACCAAACAGCCCAGCGGGCUGGCGGAUCUGCAGAGUCCAGUACUGCUGACGCGAGGAGCUCAGCUGCCGGGCCUCCAGCUCACUGUGCUCUCGGGGCCCGAGUCCCGAGCCUCGGAGCAGCGGCAGCUAGGCUUCUGUUCUGCCGCCGGCUUUCCGCCCCAUCUUCCGCCAAAGAACCCCUUCUGUACACUGAUAGUACUCAGAAUAAAAACUUUUAUUUUUUUGUUUUUUUCCUCAGAAUGUGAGCAGCAAGGAAUGUAGAACUUUCAACAAAUCUAGUAUUUUUCGCAUUUACAGAUUUUUUUUUCAGUUUCGCCGGAUGUUACAAACCUAAAUCACUGUUUUCAAAAGCUGGAUCCUCUAGUAUUAUUGCAUCAUUACCAUGUUUAUAAAGGAAUUACCUUUCCUUUUCAAAUAAUUUUUUUUCUAUUUACGCCAAUACACUGUUGAACAAAAGGCCAAAGAA